UAAAAUUAUUCUCUAUAGAAAUUGGAAGUUUCAAAUAGUGUGUGAAAUGUUGCAUAACAGAAUUUACCAUGGUCAUAGCAUGUUGAAGUCUAUCCUUUUAAUUUCUAACAAAUUACAUAGAUGAAAAUUCAAAUACAAAUCAAACUGAAGUAACAACAAUGACAAAGACUGUUAGCAGUUCAGAAAUUAUCAAUCUCACAGACAAUAUAAGCUUGCCUGCAAAUGAUCAUAGAUAUGCAAGUGGUCGGAGAAGUAAAAGUUCAAGAAGACCAAUGACAACUGUACAACAAAAAUUGAUGGAAAUGAAGGAGAAAGAACAUCUUUUUAAAAUGGAAAGUCUGAAAAGAGAACGAGAACAUGAAGAAAUUUUAUACCAGGAAAAAUUGUUAAUUUUAAAAUUAAAACGUGAGAAACUGGAAAAGGAAAUAAAGGAAAUGCAAAAAUAAUUUGCAGGAAUAGUUGUAUCUGAUUUUAUUUUUUUAUAACUGAAAUAAUAUA
rnacentral:lncRNA from 1 species